CCAAUAGCGUAUAUUAAAGUUGUUGCAGUUAAAAAGCUCGUAGUUGAAUUUCGGGAUCAUCAGGUUGGUCGUGCCUUCGGUAUGUACUUGCUUCGGUGGUCCCUCCUUCUUGAAGAACCGUAAUGCCAUUAAUUUGUUGUUGCGGGGAAACAGGACUGUUACUUUGAAAAAAUUAGAGUGUUUAAAGCAGGCAAUCGCUUGAAUACAUUCGCAUGGAAUAGUGAAAUAGGACGUUCGAUCCUAUUUUGUUGGUUUCUAGGAUUGACGUAAUGAUUAAUAGGGAUAGUUGGGGGCAUUAGUAUUCAAUUGUCAGAGGUGAAAUUCUUGGAUUUAUUGAAGACUAACUACUGCGAAAGCAUUUGCCAAGGAUGUUUUCAUUAAUCAAGAACGAAAGUUAGGGGAUCGAAGACGAUCAGAUACCGUCGUAGUCUUAACCAUAAACUAUGCCGACUAGGGAUCGGAUGAUGUUAAUUUUUUAAUGACUCAUUCGGCGCCUUACG
rnacentral:rRNA from 1 species